GACGAACGCUGGCGGCGUGCUUAACACAUGCAAGUCGAACGAUGAAGCCUAGCUUGCUAGGUGGAUUAGUGGCGAACGGGUGAGUAAUACGUGAGUAACCUACCUUUAACUCUGGGAUAAGCCUGGUAAACUGGGUCUAAUACCGGAUACGACCAAUCUCCGCAUGGGGUGUUGGUGGAAAGCGUUAUGUAGUGGUUAUAGAUGGGCUCACGGCCUAUCAGCUUGUUGGUGAGGGAACGGCUCACCAAGGCGACGACGGGUAGCCGGCCUGGGAGGGUGACCGGCCACACUGGGACUGAGACACGGCCCAGACUCCUACGGGAGGCAGCAGUGGGGAAUAUUGCACAAUGGGCGCAAGCCUGAUGCAGCGACGCCGCGUGAGGGAUGACGGCCUUCGGGUUGUAAACCUCUGUUAGCAGGGAAGAAGAGAGAUUGACGGUACCUGCAGAGAAAGCGCCGGCUAACUACGUG
rnacentral:rRNA from 1 species